ACAGGACCACAACCUAAUUGAGCUCAAACGUGUUCUUGUCAAGUAUGGACUAAGAAUUGAAAGUUAUUUGAAUUAUUGUGUAUUUAUUGUUCAUUAAAUUAUAUAGCUGGUGUAUUUAUCAAAAGAUACAAUACCAUAUCAGAGUAAAUCUUAUUACUGUAGUGUAGAAUUAAAGCUAUUAAAAGAAUGAAACUUUAAAAUUGUCGGUACAGCGUUUCAUUAAAUUCCCAGUUAGGACAAUUUUUACAGGUUUCUAUACUUGUGACGAAAAAAAAAAGCACAUUCAGAAUAUCUGAAGUUUCAGCUUACGACUCAGAAUCCUAGCAAGUUACAUGGUUGACCAACGGCAUUGACUUUUUCCAAAUGACCCAAAGUUUGAGGACCUAGCUCGCGAUUACUCCAAGAGAAACAACUGCACCAAUUUUAAUAGCGCCCAAAAUGUGUUGAGAUCUAACGCCCCAGACGGAUGAAGAGAAGGACAGACAACACAAAAUUAAUUUCUGCUUAGCACUACGUGGGGCCAUAGAAAUACAUUGAAGUAAAAUAAAAGUAACCAGAAGACUCAGGCAGUCGGGUUAGAGAGAAUCUUAACAACCAGACUCGGCCAUCUUUGUCUUAUCAAUGACCUCUAGGAGCAAUGAUCUGGACUAUUACCGUUAUGGUAUCGUAUGUGUGUGUGUGUGUGUGUGUUAGGUAGGAGGAGGCGUAUCCCUCCCCCCCCCCAAAAAAAAGGAACGGAAAGGGAGGGGGGUAACAUUAUUGCCUUUAUCAUUCACAGUUUUGUUGAGAUCUCUAUUUAAUCAUAAAUUUAAUGCUACUCUAGACAUACCAUAUCACUAAAUAGACAGAACAUAUCACUAAAUAGUUAGUAAAUAGACUUGCUAUACCACUAAAACAGACUUGCUAUAUCAGUAAAACAGACUAUUUGACUAAACACACGUACUAUGUCAUUGAACUGUAUGUAUUGUUCAGGUGCUUAGGUCACACUGCAUACACGUAACGGAUCCUGAACAUUGUGGAGACAGCAAUGUGAAAAGACACCAUUCUUUGAAAUAUUUAUACUUCCAAAUCUUUGUUGUGCUGCCUAUAUAGCGAGCUCCUCUAUUCAACAAUGGCACCUUGACAUCUUUGCUUUAUUUUACAAAAGGUUUAUUAUAUAUAAUGUUACUAUAAAUAUCACAAGCCAUAUCUCACUAUUUUUUUUAAAGAAGUUGUUUCAUUAUUUUAUCAAUGUUGUUACAUCACUAGGACUUCGUAUUGGUGGAAAGAAAAAUGUUUUGCCAUUCAAAUUAAGUAGAAAACACUUCUGACUGAAUGUCACAUUACUGUAAACCUUCCACUGAUUGAAAAACAUUUGGCAAGGAAAGAAUAACAAGGAAAAUGUAAAAAAUAUAUAUAUAUAUAUAUACUUUAAACCAGGGGUUCUCAACCUGUGGGUCGCGACCCCCUUGGGGGUCGAUUGACAAUUUGCCAGGGGUCGCCAAAGACCAUUGAAAAAAUGGAUUGUUAUUGUCUAUUCUUCAAUUGCUGUGU